AGCUCCAAUAGCGUAUAUUAAAGUUGUUGCAGUUAAAAAGCUCGUAGUUGGAUUUGGGACUGGAGUCGUCGGGUCGGCCGCGAGGUCUGCUACUUGACGGCUCCGUCACUUACAUUCUCGGUGACCCGUCGUGCACUUCGCUGUGCGCGGCGUGGGACUCGAGACGUUUACUUUGAAAAAAUUAGAGUGUUCAAAGCAGGCUCUGCCAGCCCGGAUACAUGAGCAUGGAAUAAUGGAAUAGGACCGCGGUUCUAUUUUGUUGGUUUCUACGACCGCAGUAAUGAUUAAGAGGGACAAUUGGGGGCGUCCGUAUUUCGUUGUCAGAGGUGAAAUUCUUGGAUUUACGAAAGACGAACAACUGCGAAAGCAUUCGCCAAGAGUGUUUUCA
rnacentral:rRNA from 1 species